UACGCCUACGGGAGGCAGCAGUGAGGAAUAUUGGUCAAUGGUCGGGAGACUGAACCAGCCAAGCCGCGUGAGGGAUGAAGGUACAGAGUAUCGUAAACCUCUUUUGUCAGGGAACAAAGGCGGGGACGCGUCCCCGGAUGAGUGUACCUGAAGAAAAAGCAUCGGCUAACUCCGUGCCAGCAGCCGCGGUAAUACGGAGGAUGCGAGCGUUAUCCGGAUUUAUUGGGUUUAAAGGGGGCGGCGGCGGUCUGUUAAGUCAGC
rnacentral:rRNA from 1 species